AGGGAAUCUUCGGCAAUGGGGGCAACCCUGACCGAGCAACGCCGCGUGAGUGAAGAAGGUUUUCGGAUCGUAAAGCUCUGUUGUAAGUCAAGAACGGGUGUGAGAGUGGAAAGUUCACACUGUGACGGUAGCUUACCAGAAAGGGACGGCUAACUACGUGCCAGCAGCCGCGGUAAUACGUAGGUCCCGAGCGUUGUCCGGAUUUAUUGGGCGUAAAGCGAGCGCAGGCGGUUUGAUAAGUCUGAAGUUAAAGGCUGUGGCUCAACCAUAGUUCGCUUUGGAAACUGUCAAACUUGAGUGCAGAAGGGGAGAGUGGAAUUCCAUGUGUAGCGGUGAAAUGCGUAGAUAUAUGGAGGAACACCGGUGGCGAAAGCGGCUCUCUGGUCUGUAACUGACGCUGAGGCUCGAAAGCGUGGGGAGCGAACAGGAUUAGAUACCCUGGUAGUCCACGCCGUAAACGAUGAGUGCUAGGUGUUGGAUCCUUUCCGGGAUUCAGUGCCGCAGCUAACGCAUUAAGCACUCCGCCUGGGGAGUACGACCGCAAGGUUGAA
rnacentral:rRNA from 1 species